UCUUCUGGGAUAGCUCAGUUGGUAGAGCACGAGACUCUUAAGAGUCUCAGAGUUGUGGGUUCAAGCCCCGUAUUGGGGGGAA